UAGGGAAUCUUCCGCAAUGGACGCAAGUCUGACCGAGCAACGCCGCGUGAGUGAAGAAGGUUUUCGGAUCGUAAAGCUCUGUUGUUAAGGAAGAACGAGUGUGAGAAUGGAAAGUUCAUGCUGUGACGGUACUUAACCAGAAAGGGACGGCUAACUACGUGCCAGCAGCCGCGGUAAUACGUAGGUCCCGAGCGUUGUCCGGAUUUAUUGGGCGUAAAGCGAGCGCAGGCGGUUAGAUAAGUCUGAAGUUAAAGGCAGUGGCUCAACCAUUGUAGGCUUUGGAAACUGUUUAACUUGAGUGCAGAAGGGGAGAGUGGAAUUCCAGGUGUAGCGGUGAAAUGCGUAGAUAGAUGGAGGAACACCGGUGGCGAAAGCGGCUCUCUGGUCUGUAACUGACGCUGAGGCUCGAAAGCGUGGGGAGCGAACAGG
rnacentral:rRNA from 1 species